rnacentral:SRP_RNA from 1 species
GCACGUGGCGCAGUGGCUUGUGCCUGUAGUCCCAGCUACUCAGGAGGCUGAGGUGGGAGGAUCGCUUGAGCCCAGGAGUUCUGGGCUGUAGUGUGCUAUGCUGAUCGGGUGUCUGCACUAAGUUCGGCAUCAAUAUGGUGACCUACCGGGUGCCAGGGACCACCAGGUUGCCUAUGGAGAGGUGAAUCGGCCCAGGUCAGAAACGGAGCAGGUCAAAACUCCCGUGCUGAGCAGUUGUGGGAUCGCACCUGUGAAUAGCCACUGUACUCCAGCCUGGGCAACAUGGCGAGACCCCGUCUCU